rnacentral:rRNA from 1 species
CACGUAGGCACCAAGCGUUGUCCGGAUUUAUUGGGCGUAAAGGGCUCGUAGGCGGUUCAGUAAGUCGGGUGUGAAAACUUUGGGCUUAACCCAAAGCGUGCAUCCGAUACUGCUGUGACUUGAGUUCGGUAGGGGAGUGGGGAAUUCCUAGUGUAGCGGUGAAAUGCGCAGAUAUUAGGAGGAACACCGGUGGCGAAGGCGCCACUCUGGGCCGAAACUGACGCUGAGGAGCGAAAGCAUGGGUAGCAAACAGG